UUUUGCUCCCGAGUGGCGCAGCGGUCUAAGGCACUGCAGCUCAGUGCAAGAGGUGUCACUACAGUCCCUGGUUCGAAUCCAGGCUGUAUCACAACCUGCCGUGAUUGGGAGUCCCAUAGGGCGGCGCACAAUUGGCCCAGCGUCGUCCGGGUUUGGCCGGGUAGGCGGUCAUUGUAAAUAAGAAUUUGUUCUCAACUUUGUUCUUAAAUAAAGGUUUAAAAAAAAUACAACAAUAAAUACAAAAUCUAACCUUUUCAAAUGCCCACUUUGAGUGUGAAAGUGUGUUAAAUACAUUAAAAUGUAUAGAAACGUGUAGGUGUGUUUAUCAUAGACAGGCAUGCAUCAUCUUCAUACAGCUUAUCUCACUUGUUUAAUGCUGGACGUAUGCAAUCCUGGUUGUGCAUAAGAUUUGCAUUGGACCAUUUUUUAUACAUAGAAAGAGUAAGAAAGCAGAGAUGAAUGCCGUUCUAGCCUUUCCACUCCUAAGCUCUUCUCUCGGUUCAUAACAUUUACUGUACAUUUAACUCAUCUUUAUAUUUACUGUAAAUGUAUCAUACGUUUUAUUUAUCAUUUAAAAUACUCAAAUGGAAAGAUUAAGUAGGCAGAGAUUAACGUUCCUUUUCUCUUUCGGUUUAUAACAUUUCAUGUACAUUUAACCUUCUCUGUGUGAGGCCAUUAUGUACUUUUCUUCACAAUGGUAGUUUUCCUGAAUAGAAAGUAAUGGAAAACCAUUAAAGAAAUAGUUCCUCUGUGGUCGGUGUGUAAUUAUUUUGAAGCCGAGGGACAUUUAUUUCCUUUGUUAUUUCCUUGCUUUAAUAACUGAUUCUUUGAUAGUUUCCUAGUCCCCACUACCUGGCAGUGAUGUCAGUUCGACCAUAGGUCUCCAAGCAACAUUGAGAAUGGAAUGGUCCAGCCACAAGACGACGCCGACGAGAGGGACGACCCCGAGGACGAGGAGCAGGUGGCGAAGGUGGAAAUCACGGAUGAUGUUGGGAUCCAGAAUGUCCUACACCGGAACCCAACAUCGACAACCCGGAACCCAACAUCACGUGAGCUUCGCUCCACACUUAUGCGCACCUGAAGCACUCGUCAACCGCAGGAGCUUCGGUCUGGCCCAGGGUCCACGGAGCCGAGGACGAGCAUACCAACCCUACCAUGUCACAACACAUUGGUUGGCUGAAACACAUUAUGAAGCAAAUUAACUUUCAACAAGGCACACCUGUUAAUUCAAAUGCAUUCCAGGUGACUACCUCAUGAAGCAGGUUGAGAGAAUGCCAAGAGUGUGCAACGCUGUCAUCAAGGCAAAGGGUGGCUACUUUGAGGAAUCUGAAAUUGAUUUUGAUUUGUUUAAUUAACACUCUUUUGCUUACUACAUGAUUCCAUAUGUGUUAUUUCAUAGUUUUGAUGUCUUCACUAUUAUACAAUGUAGAAAAU
ensembl:lncRNA